rnacentral:rRNA from 1 species
CCUACGGGUGGCAGCAGUGGGGAAUAUUGGACAAUGGGCGAAAGCCUGAUCCAGCCAUGCCGCGUGUGUGAAGAAGGCCUUCGGGUUGUAAAGCACUUUCAGUGGGGAAGAAAGCCUUGGGGCUAAUACCCUCGAGGAAGGACAUCACCCACAGAAGAAGCACCGGCUAACUCCGUGCCAGCAGCCGCGGUAAUACGGAGGGUGCGAGCGUUAAUCGGAAUUACUGGGCGUAAAGCGCGCGUAGGCGGUCUGAUAAGCCGGUUGUGAAAGCCCCGGGCUCAACCUGGGAACGGCAUCCGGAACUGUCAGGCUAGAGUGCAGGAGAGGAAGGUAGAAUUCCCGGUGUAGCGGUGAAAUGCGUAGAGAUCGGGAGGAAUACCAGUGGCGAAGGCGGCCUUCUGGACUGACACUGCCGCUGAGGUGCGAAAGCGUGGGUAGCAAACAGGAUUAGAUACCCUAGUAGUC